AAACUGCAGUAUGCUGAUGCUCAACAUGGUGUAACUCUGCAGCAAGGUUUGAAAAAAGAAAGAAAGAAAAAAAGUAAAGCUUUUUAUUAAGCAUCAAAAUAAAUUUGAAAAAAAAAUAGAACAAACGUAAAAAAACCAACCUGCUUUUUGCGCAAUCAGAAUGGAGUUCAAUGAUAAUGUAAACAAGCAUUGGAUGAUAGCUGAUGCACCUCUUCUACGUGGCCAAUCAAUGUGCUUUGAUGCACAUCAUGUGUCUCUAAUGCACACCAUUAGGUGAUAGCUUCAAUUCAUAUAUUAAUCCUAACAAUAACCAUGUAGAUGAAGCUCAAUUUAAAUGGACAAAGUAAACUCAAUAACAUAACAAUAUAUAUCAAAUUUAACAAUGUCAAUAUGCAUCAUUUUAUCUAACAGAACAUUAUGCAUCAAAUUUAACAAUGUUUUAUGCAUCAAAUUAUCUAACAGAGAAGUACAUAUCAAAUUUGACAAUAUCAAAAUUCACCAAAUCUAAUAACAUAACAGUAUAUAUCAAAUAUAACAAUGUCAGUAUGCAUCAAGUUUAUAACAUGUCAGUUAGCCAUGGACAUACCAAUAUGUAAGCGUAAACCAGUUUAACAAGCAAAGCCAACACCAUGGAGCCAAGCAAAACUACCAGGUUCCACAUCAACUUCGUUAUCAAAAACCAUAGGCAUGUGCUGUGUAGUACAAAUAAGCGUAUAAAUCAAAUCAAAGAUGUGUUCUUUAUAGAAAAAAAAACCACAAACUAAGAACUGUAAAUGUCAAUUUUACUCAUCUUCCAAAAUAAAAAAUGACAAAAUCAAAACCCUAGCUCCUAUCUUUUAUCAAUCGAUGAUAAGAAAUGAACAAAAUUAAAUCUUUUUCAAAUGAUAGACCACCAUAGCUCAACAAUAUUGGAUAGGAGAUGAAAAAACCUAGGUCAAGACAGAAGUGUGUGAGACAAAUGUUAAACUAUGAACAUAGGGAAAACGUAAAAAAAAGAAAAAAAAAACAUUACAUACUAUGUAACGAUGGUGGUGGAUAUGUCGUCGAUGAGAUGAGAGAGCUGGAACAGGCGAAAUCUAGAAGUUGAACGGAGGAGGAGUGAAACAGCGGCAGAGUUGUUUUAGGGUUUUAAUGGGAUGGGGAAAUGAGUCUGAGUGGUGUUUUAUAUAAGAAUGACAAACGACAUCGUUUUAGAG
rnacentral:lncRNA from 1 species